UGCAGAAACCGAGCUCAUAACACAUCUUGAGAGAAAAGAAGAGGGUACAUGAAAAAGGGAAGAAAACAGGAAGAAGAAAAAAGAGGGAAAGUAAAGAAAAAGAAGGGGAAAGAAAUGGCGCCCAAGACUAUUGCUUCGUCUCCUUCGAUUGCGCAACUUUUGUGCAUGUUCAUGGUUCUGGUCCUUCAUUUCAUGAUCAUCUCGGCAGGCCGAUGCCCGGGUGAAUCGGUUCCAAGCGACCCGCGGCCUUCCCCUGGAUGUAAAUGAGGUACUUACAUGACAAAGUGGUCGACUUCUUGUAUUUUGCUUCAGAAGAAAAGUGGUGGUCCCUAAACUUGACUGUAAUGUUAUGGGAAGGGAUGUAAAAAAUGUUAAUUAGUCUCUGUAUCACGUAUCUUUAAGUGGUCUCUAUAUCUUCAGGCAACUCUUGGAAGGUUGUCACUAUGAGAAGAAAGAGUCCGCAUAUCUUUCGGGUUAAGGACACCAUUUUCAUAUAGCUCUCACUUGAGAGCCAUAACUUUUUUUCGGUCACAUGAGUGACAUAACUUUUAAUCGAUCACUUUAGUGUCAUAUCAUUCAGAAAA